AACCUUUUCUACAAUGGAACAUUCCUGGACGAAUGAGGGACUACACCGUUUCAGAUCCAGCUACAUGUAGCUGAUUGUGUUAGGCUGCUGUGGGAGCAUCACACCUACACUGACAGUGGUUUCAAGCCCGAUGUUUGGCCUAGCUGCCCAGCAGGCUCAGCAGUACCUGAAGAGCUGUGUUCAGGUGGACUGCUGGGAAGCAGUUUGCUGAUCUACAAUGAGGGCCUGGGUUGGUUACUAAGAAGACCUUAUGGUGUGAAGUCCCACUCACCUGCCAUUCUUGGGCUAGAAAUGUGUGUAUUUUAUUUAUGGAUUAGGUCAGGAUUUACCCCCUGGUCAAAAUGAUUUUUCCAAGCAGACUGUCUCCUUUUCAUGUUAACAACCAACAGUUGGCAUUUAAUUCUGCUAGUGAGAAAGAGGAACUAACAGAGCCACUCUGCCUUGUCAAGUUAUUUGUGGAGCUGACAGCUACCUUCUGAGUGACUGACAGCCUCUUAAUUUGUUUGGGGGGAUGGGGGUCACAAGAGCGCCACAUCCUCGUAGAUUUGAUUUUACAUCCUUCUAGGUACCGGGAGCUUCCUGUGUGGUUGGGCAUUUAAAAUGACACUGUAUUAGAUGUUUUGUACUGUUGCUACCUAGGGCAUCACCUCUUUCUAUAGACUUCAUUUUGCUGCUCCACAUGCAGUCAUAGCGACAGACCUAUCAACAACUUUCACCUCAUAGCUUAGUGAGGACAUGACAUGGCAUAUAGUGCUAAAGCACCACCUUUACUGACUGCAGGUCUUGACUUGCCUGGGUCCAGACCUUGGAAUCCGCCCACUCCACCGUGUUGACUGGAAAUGGAAUGUAACGAGUUGACAAUUCUGUCUGAUAUCAGGCUAGGUCUUGACCCUACAUCACCCCUAGUUAUAGAUGCUGGCUCUGUCGUCACAGUAACCUGACCUGGGAAUGUGUAAUAUAGAAAUAGCCAUUGGCAAAGCAAUCCAUCUGACUGCAUCCAGAAUUCAUGGAGCAAUGGUUACAAUCGUAACAUACGUUUAAUAUUUCGUUUGUUGGAUUCAAUUAAUUUUUUGGUCAAGUGAACAGUAACGCUGCACAUAUUUGUACUUUAAAACACUGGAUGAAAUUGUUAUCAGAAAUUGCUUUUAAAAUAACAACUUUGGUUAUGUUUCCAAUUCUUUGUUACCUAAAUAACUAUUAAGGAUCUAACAGAAAUCCAACAGUGAUAAAAAGACAAAGAAAUCCUUGAAACACCCCGAAAACCCUCCAUACCAUCUUUCAAUCCCAUGAUCCCAUUUGGUAAACCUGAUUACUCCCCAACCUACAGUACAGUGCAUGCUCUUUGCUAAAGCAUCUAAAGCAAUGCUGAGAGUCAGUUUCAACACUGCAAAGGAAGUAUUACUGAAUACAUAUUUCAUAUUCCAGGAAAUCAACCUUACCCUCAGAGUUUGGAACAUUAUGGCUAUAUAUAAUUUAUGACAGGAAGAGGAAUAUGUUUAGUAUCGACCACUGGUAGACUAGGGUCAUGCUGGAUGCAAAAACUCUCCCAAUGCAAUGUCCCUUAACCCUUCUACCCCCAGACGGGAAGCACUGUGGAAUUGUGUUACGGGCUCAGAUUCAACUACACUUCCUGAAUUCCUUGGGUCUGUGUUUGAGUUAUCAGUCAUGCUGCUCUAUGCCAUGUAUGUAUACCAUUGUGUUACUGCUUUUACAGUGUUUUCUCUGCAGCUUCCAGUUCCAAUUGGGCACACCAAUAUUCUAACUCAUGUCUCUAUUAUCCUCUUUGUAGAUAUUGUACAUUGUAUAAUCAUUUACAAGCAUCUUGACAUUGACAACAGAGAGGCUCAAAGCACUCAGUACUAAGAAAAACAUUCCACAUUGAAAUAUAAGGAACAAAUCUCAUUUUAUAAGUGCCAUCUCACAUUGUGCGGGAUAUCUUUUGUGUUUGACCUGGACUGUGGAUUUAUAUAUCUUUAGAAAUAUAUAAGAAAAACCUGUCAACCUGCCAGUGUGAUUCAGUUUAUCACAAAUUACAAGCUUGCUCAUUUAAUCCUGGCUUUACAUUCUCACAGUUUUAUAUAUUUAUAUAAAAUAUUUAUAUAUUUUUUACAUAACAUCAGUACUGACUGUACAACAGUGUCUGCUACAGAACCUUUGGCCAGUGGAGCAUUUGAUGGCUAAAUGCCUUGGUCAGGGGCAUAUAGCAACCAGAUUUCUGAAUGAGGGAAGAGUUGUGUGGAGCAGCGGUAUGCAUACCAAGUGCACACAUGCAAAUGAUAGAGAAUAAGGAGUAAGGAAAGCACUGAUGUUUAUUGGCUAAAGUUGAUAUUAAGGCACACUCUUUAGGAUUUGACUACUGAAUAUGAGUGGGGGUUAGGAAUUAUUGAACAAAUCUAUGGUCUGUGCUUGUAAAGAGACUUUCUGCAUGAUCCAAUUCGUAUAUGAAAAAUGUAAUCGCUCUUGUAUUUUGGACUCAGUCACUUUUCAUCGAGUCUGAUUCUCCCACUUGAAUCCCAAGUGUUUUUUGAAUUGGGUGGUGCUUCUAAUAUAUUUUUGCUGUCAUCUCCAUUCCAGGUUUCUCUGCAACAAUUACAUCCUGACUGAAUUAGCAUUUUAAUUACAAGGUGAUUUUGGCAAUAAUGCUGAACAUUGAAUGAUUUCUAAUUAAGGAGACUUCAGAAAAUUAUUCCUGAAAUGUAAGACUGGAGCUAUUCUCAGGAACAUAACUUCUCCCUAACAAUGAAUUUAAAUUGGUCAGUCCUGUGUAGAAUGUCAACCUAAAUCACUUAACUUAAAAGAAGUACAAGCCCCCUACAGGGACAAUAAAAAUCAAUAUGAGUACCGCACAGAAUGUGGUGAACAGUUAGCAAAUCUGUGUGUUGUUUUCUUGAUUAAGGUCAAAGUCACAUGUAAGGGCCGUCAAGUUAGAAAUGAGUAAUUACCACUCUUUUAAGUCCUUAAAAAGAAGUACUGCGUACAAGUAUUGUGAGGUACUGAGCCUUUGUGCUGCGCCCUUGUAAGCAAUUACAGUGUAAUACCUGCCUGCACCCAUUUAAAGGAAACUGUGGAGUAUGUCCUGUAUUCAUUUGUUGCCUGGCCCGAACAAUGGGUCUUUUUCAAGGUGAAGCUGAUUACGGAUGGAGAGUCAAGUUGUUUACUGCAGGGUUUGUGCACAUUACUUGCCACCCACUUAGGCCUGUUUAAACUCAACAUCCUGACCCCCAAGGGAAAAAACAGGAGCAUCAAGUUAUGCUCCUAUUUAUUCAUCUUUUAAAAGUGCUGUUGCAUAUUUAGUUGUGUGUCAUUCUUUUGCUUCACAGUAGGAUUUUUGUUUUCCCUACUGUAAUUUACUGUGCUGUUCAGCUCAACAUGAAAUCGCUAAUCGUCAAUUAGAUUGUGAUUUACAAAUGGAACCAAAGUUAUAAUAACAUUCAAAGGAGUACAUCAACAAUCAGAACACAUUCAGGCAUAGUAUGUGCUGAAUCCAGGUUUCUAUGUCCAAUACUGGGUAAAAUGGCUUUCAAAUACACCCAACAAGAAACAAAAACACAUUUGGAAGCUCUUUGUACUUUAUCUGCAUGUUUUUUUAGCUACUCUGAUUAUUGUCUUUUGCACCAUAUUUUUGUUAACUAUUGACCUAUUGACUUUACUAAAUAUUUACACUGUAAGCAUUGAGUUUUUAAUGAUCUUUUUCUUGUUCCUUUCUUGCCUUAUAGGCUUUCAAGGGUCAAGUGAGAUUGCUUGAGGGGAAUUGCAGAGUUAACAAAGGUAUAUUUUGAAAAACUACUGAAACAGGACGUUCUGUAGGUGUCCCUAUUGACGGCUGUACUGUUGGUGUUUGUCAGGAAUUAUACAAAUAACCACCUCACACGUCCAUGAGCCUUGGGACAUGCAUAAAAUGCUUGAUGUCAGGAUGUUUGCUAUAAGUUAAACAUCUGGGAAAUGUAUAUUCCUGUAGUAAGUCAUAAAAAGUCCUUCAGUAAAUGUAAGUCUAUAAAACUGAGCUGAUGGCAGAGACUUGAUGAAUUUUUGUUUUCCGGCUAGACAUGGGUACUACCAACUGGGACAUGCUGAAGUGCCCAGGUUGCAGCCAGGCUCAGUUCUGUCUGUGAUAUAGAGCAUGAACAAUUCUUUCAUUUAUUUGUACUAACACAUAACUGUCAGCAGCAUAACAGACAAUUUAUAUUUACGAGUAACAUGUGCAAGUAGGGUGUUGAGUCAUAACAUGUUGCAAGUGGUGAGAGGGGUGUCUGUGUGUGUAUGUGUGUGUGUGUGUCUGUGUGCACAAGUAGUGGAUUUACUGUUGUGUGAACACUCUUCAUAAUGCUUAUACAUCUGUUUAAGUUUGCAAACUCAUAAUUGAUCAGUGAUGAUAGCAACCAGCAAACAUGGAAACAUUUUUAUUCAACUUUCAUUUAAUGUUUUAAUGUUGUUGUUCUAGUUAUUAUCAGUUCCUACAAUAUGUUCCUCAUGAAUGCUAAAGUAAUAAUGUUACUUUUCUGACUUGAAGUUUAACAAGUAAUUUCUUAAAUUUCAUAACAGUGUUUGUUACCAAUAAAAACUAAGUCAUUUUUUAUCAUCCAUCUGUUCCAUAAUCCUAGAUCUAUAUCUCCCUGAUUUGUUCAUAUUUGUUCAUCAUAAUGCACUGUCAGCUGUUGUAUGUGUAUACUUAGAGCACUGAGUAGAGUAAAGGUAGAGGUCAAGCAAAGGUCUUCAUGCUUGAUGUCAUACUUAGACAGACGUGAACAGAAUAUUGUUCAUACUGUAGACUCUCAUGAUACUUUUCUCUGAUGUGCUGCAAAACAUACUGUAAAUGUUUUACUGUGGAAGCACACUCAGAGUUUCUGUUGUAUUUGCAUAACAUUGAGUGGUGACAUUUGCAAUGUGUUUCUUAGGUUAUCUGUAAGUUAUUGAAAAUAAACAGUUGACACAAGAAAAAAAAAGGUUGCUAUUGAAAAAGGGGAAAUGCAGCCAAAUGUCAGUUACGAUAGCCACUACUUGGUUCUUUCACUUGCUUCCACAAUUUUCUCCCUCAAAUGUCUACCUUCAUAAGAGAAAGAAAUUACACUAAAUUAGAAACUGUUUGAUUAAAAAGUCAUUCGUAUCAUAAUUAGUGAUAAAAAAUAUUUAUCCAAUAUGACUAAAGUCCUUUGACGCAUAAACAUGUACUGAGCAAACAAAAAAGAGAUAAGCAAAAUGAGCAAAGAAUGUACCUAAUAAUGGAUAUUCUAUGUAAGCAGUAUGUCUAACUAAGACUAAGUAGAGUUUGCCCUAAGUUGGUAGUGAGCUCUGCCAGACAAGAGAAGAGUGUGGUGCUGCCUUGUAAUACAGUGGGGGGGCAAUGAAUAAUUUACAAGUCAUUUCUCUUUCAUCUCUCAGGUCUAAACACAGUGCUCUUUGCCGCCAGUGCCUAUGACAGCCUCAUAUCUUUCUAAGUCUUGCGAUACAGUAAUAGGAGCGGAAUGGCUCUGCAUAACAAGUGGAAAGCAUGCUGGGAGGUUCAGUAGGGACCUUUUGGUUCAAGUGCUAAAUAGGGUGUGAACUGUAAAUAUGGAAAACUGUUGGCAGAAUUAGAUAUUUAAAUAAUUGCUGGGCUCAAACAUCCCCCAGUAACACUGAUACAUUUUUCUAGUAGUGCCAGAGUGCACAUUUGAUCACAACAGGGUGUGUUAAGAAUCCAAUCAUCUUCAACCAACAGCUUUUAAAUGAAUACGGUGAUAGUUUCAGAUUUGUAGUGCCUCAGCAAAGUCUAACUAGUGCAGUGGUAAGACACUACUGAUACCAGAGGAAAAGCAUUCAACAGCAUACUAAAGAAAUAAGCAUUCUGACCUUAUUUUUAUCAUGGAGUAUCUACUUUUUCAGGGCCAUGGCCAGUCAUCUCAGAAUGGCCUAAUGACUCUUGGGGAAAUGAUGUCCCACAUCCAGAUCAGCUGCAUGUAUUUAAUUAUAGAGCUUGCAACUAGCUGUUGACUUCAGUGUUUGCUAGCUACCCUAAAAAAUAGACACAGAAUCACCAGGGUCAUCACUAGAACAUUGGUGGCAUUGGAUUAACAUUCAAGUCAAUUUUAUUUAUAUAGCCCAAUAUCACAAAUCACAAUUUGCCUCAAGGGUCUUUACAAUCUGUACAGCAUAUCACACAACAUUGGAUUAACAAUAGCAACGAACAGUGCAAGAUGUUGUUUAUGAGCUGCAGAAUCAGUUGCUGUUUUACUGCAUGUUAUUUUUGUCUUUGUUUUGUUUGUUGUUGUGUUGACCUGUUCAACAAGUAAAUUGGAUAAUAAUACAUACCACAAAUAAACACUAUUAUUGUGAUGAAACUGGUCAUGAUUUUUUUAUUUUAUCUAUUAUUUAUUUAAUUUUUGUGGGGGUCUGUUAUUGAACCCAA